ensembl:lncRNA
GUGUCUUGAUUUGCUCCAGGUGUCGGUACUUUAGUUUGAUUGUGGUUGUUAUUUAACCCCUUGUGUUGCUGUGCACUUCGCACAGUAUUGUUUGAAUGUAAUGGUGAAUGUCUUACGCAUGCUAAGCGGUCUUCUUUUCGUGUCCUGUUCUGUUCCCUGCCUCGCAUCCAGUUUCUUGUUUUAACCUCGUUAAUCUUGCUCAGUAUAGACCGCGUUUCCUGUUUUUCGUCUGCUGUGUAAAAAUAAAGACGUUGAUCUGCACCUGCUCCCGCCUCACCUCCCUGUAUCGUAAGACAAACAGCAUAGCAGCAAUAUGUGAUUGGCAGCAGAAGAGCUGGAUUGGUGUCAAGUCAUUGUGGCUCAUGGGCAGUUAAUGGGUGACCAUCGGCGGCAACUCGCAGAGCUUGACACAAAGAUGAACCUCCUCUCCCAAGCCAUCACUAUAACUCCGGUUGCUUCAACCCCAGAGCCCAUCAUACACAGCAGUGUGGGAGCAGGGAGGUGACCAAUUACGUCAUAUGAGCACUUCACAGUGCCUUUGCUGCUUUUCAGUGCUGUUGCAAUCUUGCUCGACAUGACUGAAAAGUUCAUCAUGCAGAGGGUGUAUGGGUGUUCUAUUGCUUAAAGAGACAGACCUCUGAGAUGGCGAUAUCUCCUUGGAGUGUUUUGACUGAAUAUGUAUCGAGUGCCAGCCCAACUCAGUCACUCAGUCAGUCAGGCAAGACAAGGCCGUUAGGUGGCAGUUGUGUCACAUUCUUUGAGCAAACACUGAUUUUUUAAGGUGUACUGAACAUGAGAUGACUGUGGAUGCCAUUAUGUAAAGAGGCAUUUAUAAUUUUGGAUGGAGCACACAUUUAUCAUUUUAUCUUACAUGCUACAUAUAAUGUAACUGCUAGGCGUAAGGACUAGGAGAACCCUACGCUCUGCGUGAUGUCUAUUUACAUUAUAUUGAGCAGUUAAAUGAAUGAAUUAAUCUCGAUUAACAAUGUGUUAUUUAAAAGCUAAGGCCCUGAUAUUUGACCAAUGCUUUAUUAUUGAAAUGUUAUAGGAACAGUCAUUUUAUAAUUUCAUUGAACAGUAAUAGAGGCCAGCUGGUUCGUCACUCCCCUGGCCUCAAGAGAUGCACUAGCGAUCAUUUUGAGAAUAACACAUAUUAAUGGUAGAAAAACAGCAUGAUUAUCACAAAGAUAGAAAGCCAAGCCAGCAUCUUAAUCAAUGCAAUAAAAGGAUGUUGAAGAUUUUGUUAAAUCUGACUUCAGGAUUGGGUUCAGCAACAAAAAAAAUUAUUUGUCUUUCUGAAGAAGACGAAUCCUGCUACUUUUCUUUCACCAGAUACUGUUUUGACAGAUGGAUCUCACCUUUAAAUAAUAGGUCCCUUCCCUUUAAGUUUUUUGGCCACUACAGAGUCCU